rnacentral:rRNA from 1 species
UACGUAGGUGGCAAGCGUUAUCCGGAAUUAUUGGGCGUAAAGAGCGCGCAGGUGGUUAAUUAAGUCUGAUGUGAAAGCCCACGGCUUAACCGUGGAGGGUCAUUGGAAACUGGUUGACUUGAGUGCAGAAGAGGGAAGCGGAAUUCCAUGUGUAGCGGUGAAAUGUGUAGAGAUAUGGAGGAACACCAGUGGCGAAGGCGGCUUCCUGGUCUGCAACUGACACUGAGGCGCGAAAGCGUGGGGAGCAAACAGG